UGAUCAUGGAAGGAUGCGUGGAGACGAAGCCUCUGUCAGUGUGGGUUGCUGUUGGACUCCAUGAUCAGAGACUCUCUGCCCACGUAUUUUUCUUCUUCAUGCACAGACAGGCACCAAUUUGAAGCUUAAUGACAGCAGAAACAGAGAACAACUACUCCACAUUGGCAGCACGUUGGAUGGUGCCCAUGCACAUGGAGGGUGAGUCUUCCUCUCCCAGUCUACUGACUCAAAUGUCAGUCUCCUCUGGCAACACCCUCGCAGACAAAGCCAGAAACAAUACUUCACCAGCUACCUAGGCAUCCCUCAAUCCAGUCAAGUUGACACCCAGUAUUAACCAUCACAGCCCUUAACAACAGAGUUAGCUUGUCUUUGAAACUUUGAAGCCCAGCGUUGAUGUCUCCUCUCUAGCUAUGAAAGUCCUAGAUUGGAUCUUCUUCAAUAAAUGGAUAUUUUGUUUACACUGAAAGUCUGUUUUUGUAGUCUCCUUGAUCAAUUUUCUUAGCUAGAUCUUCUUAAUCACUUGCUGAAGCUUCUCCAACAGAACUUUCUGCUUCUCCUUGCAUUUUUAUGUUAUGGAGAUGGCUUCUUUCAUUAAACCUCAUGAACCAAUCUCUGCCAGUUUCCAACUUUUCUUUUCCAGCUUCCUAUCCUCUCAGCCUUCAUCAUAUUGCAGAGUUACAGCCUUGCUCUGGAUGAGGCUUUGGCUUAAGGGAAUCUUGUGGCUGACUUCAUCUUCUACUCAGACAACUAAUCCUUUCUCUAUCUCAGCAGUGAGGCUGUUUUGCUUUAUCAUUCCUGUGUUCACUGGAGUAGCACUUUUAAUUUCCUUCAAGAAUUUUUCCUUUG
rnacentral:lncRNA from 1 species